CUGUAAAAUCAAAUUUUUUACGAGGACUUAUUGUGAUAGAAAAAGGGAGAAUGGCUCCCAAAACUGGGAGUUGGUUUACCUUCAAUAUAAGGAAGAAAUUACUUACUUUGAGGGUGUUGAGAUGCUGGAAGAGGUUGCCCAGAGAAGUCAUAGUUGCCUCAUCCCUGGCAAAUCUCCACCACAGAGGGACUGGUGAUUGAUUUGCAGUAUUGCAGUCUGUCCAUUAACAUCAUAACUCAGUUCAAAAUGUACAGUCAGUCAUACAGAUUUGGGUUUUUUUCUGUCUGCAGAGUGGCACUCUUAAAAUGUAUUUUUAAAAAAGUCAGAGUAGUUGUUCCUACUAGAGAUGAAGAACAGCACUCUUGCUCUCCGGCUAGCAGCUCAAACAUUUAAACACCCCCAUGCCCCUCAGUGGUCUGCAGUGAUACUGGAUGAGGGAGGACUAUCAGUGACAGCACUGCAUGAGAGAGGUCUGGCAGGGCAGAAAGCUUUAUUUUAUGGGAUCGUGUGGCAGGAAGAGACAGCAAGAUGGUCUAACAUGAAGAAGAAAGGGAAUGUAAACUUCACCAAUGGCUUGGAUUAGCCCAGUUUUCUCUGUGAGAAAAUAAACUUUUGAUGUGGUCUCAGCUGAAGGUGUAAUUUUAUAAAAAUGAAUACUGUGUAAUGCUUGCAAUUCUCUGAGCUGAUACUUGUAUUUCCCAAUAAUUACUGGCUGAGUCAUCAGUUUUAAAGAGUAGCUGUUUGUAAACUGAUACAAAUACAGCGUAAAAAUCACAAGAGAAGAUUAUUUCAUUUCGAUUAUCCUUCCCUCAGAAAGGCAAGUGAAAGUAAAGCUGAAACAGGUACAUAUUUUAGCAAGUGGAGAAUUUGGAGAUUUGAAGAAGAGCUGGAAAUCUGUACUGAAAACUUGAAGUUGCUGCUGUGGCUUAUGGUAACUGGAGAGAAAAUACUAUUAAUAUAUGUGUAAGAAAUAGAUUAACUAUGGCGGGGGCAUACAGUUUUUGCUCUAAAAACAGAUGUUUAUAGUGUUGGGAAGGUAGAAAUUUUCCAUAAAGCUAUUCUGGCACAGAACUGUUCUAAAAGAAAUAGUGUGCUCCAUUACGGUGGCAAAAUAUAUUCUCCUUAAUUGGUAGCAAGGCAGUGUGUUAAACAGCAACUGCUGACAGGAGACGUUGGGGUAGAGUGAAUAACUUGAAUUUAGAAAUAUUAAAUUAAUUACCUUAGGAGCAUUCUGAAUCUGUAAUGUGGAUUUUCAACAAUCAUUGUACAGCUGGGAAAACUUCAAAAGAUUUGAGAGGUUGUGGUGAAGGUUAAGGUCUCAGUAUUUAAGAGAGGGCAAGUAGAGGGACUGAGAGCUGAACCACUGAACGUAACUCCCUGCUCAACCUGCCCUGCAAGUGUUGCAAACCACUCAGGAAGUUGAGCUUGCUGGAGGAUUUAAAUGGAGAGAGGGAGAAGUAGGGCUGAACAUAGGUUUUAGUGUGUCUGCAGAGCUUAAGGAAGGAAUUUGACGGAAGCCCUUCUGGGGGAGAUCGCAGUAUCUUCGAUGCUUACAUCAAACACGUCCUGCUCUCCCCACUGUUUCCUUUUGGGAAGGAAAUAUGGACUGGGAAUCUCAGGUUGAGAGGCUGCUGGUUCCUCAAGUAUCUUGACAAGAGGAAGCCUCAUCUCCCAGCACUAGAGAGUGGCCAGGAUCUGCAGCCAAGUACAGGAAAUCCUGUUUCUCAAUAAAGAUUAAUUUCAUGUCCUGUAAGGUUGCAGCUCACUGAAAGGCUGCUAUACGUCUGCAUUUUUGUUAUGCUAUUCAGCUAUUGUGUUCAGUUUUAGAAAUAAAGGGGAAAAAAUGGGGAAUUUUUUUACAGUAUUUUCCACUACAAUAAAUUCUGGACUGUGCUAAGAUAAGAGAUUUGUGCACAAUUCAUUACUCAAAUUUACUUAACACAUUGUUUUAUCUGCUGAUGCUUUAUAUUUGCUUCUUGCAAUGCUUGAGAAUAUGAAAAAAUCACAAAAUGACUGCUGUUUUACGUGGGUAUAGGGAUUUACAAAAAUUAGAGUGUAGUGGAAAAGAGCAGUCCUUAUUCUUAAAGAGUUCCCAUUUUGCAUAUCUUGGAGCAGGGGGGCAGGGCAGUGAAUGAAACUGAAGAUGCUUGUGUUCCAGUUUAUGUUGUUGAUCCUUAGGAACAGAUGGGUUUUUUAAAAGUGAAGAAAGACAGAAGCCAGCAGCAAUACUUAACAGGCUCUCCAAGUUUAAAUUCUGGCUGCAGAGAUACAUGAAGCUGUGAAAUUGGUUGAAAUUAAAGGAAACACAACGGCAUUCUUUA